UUUUCUGUCUCUGUCAGUCAUUAACCCCAGAGCCCAAACGGCUCUCUCCCUUCUUUAACCGAGUCAAUUUAGUAGACAUGUGAAUACUCCAGCUUGGAACACGUGGCAAGCAUCACGACAUGGAGCUCCAUAGAGUUCCAAAUUAAGGGUGAAGAUCAAUCCAACAUGCCCAUCGUCCUCUCUCUAGAAAAUCUGAAAAGGUUUUCUCUCCAUUUCACAGCAAGCCCUUCUAUUAUGUUUUUUUUUCAGUUCUCUCAGACCCCAUUUCUCUGCUCCCUCUUCUUCAUAGCGUCUCAGAAACGCAAAAUCCUUCUGUCUUUUAGAAAGUCAGCCACCUCCUCUCUCGGAUCUCUGCCCUCGCAGCUGUACCACGUACCUCCCAGUGUUUCAAUAGCCCAUCCAUGGUAGAAAUCGGAAAAUCAGAAAGCCAAAGCUAUGUGAGGACCCCCAAUAAUUUCGAAUCCGAGACAACAUCACCCUGAAUCGCCAUCUCAACUCCACAAAAUCAUGUCUCCCAAGCCUCAAGCCAUCAGAAAUUGGAGUACCAUUUUGCACAUGCCACGUAGGUGUCCGAGAUGAACAAAGAGACAGAAGAGACAAAGUCAAAAAAGCUUCCAAACUCACGGAUCUGCAAAUUGUGAGCAUACACCCGUGAGAAAACAAGCUGAAGCAGCCGGUCUAAUAGUCCCAGAAAGCAAAAUCAACAGCAACUGUCGCGGCCUUUGUAUGUCAUCAAGGGUAUACGGAUCCAUGAUAGAGCCAAGGAGACAGAAGUAAACACACAAGAGCAACGGAGGAAAACAGCACAGGCCGCAUGACCCAGAUCGAUGCAUCUGGGAGGUAAAAUUCGAAUCCCUGCAAGUGUAAUUGUUGUAGAUCUGGUAAUAAUAUCUGUACUCAGUUCU